CCCCUAGAUGUUCUGGGCCGCACGCGCGCUACACUGAACAGUUCAACAAGUCUUAACCUUGGCCGAUAGGUCUGGGUAAUCUUUGAACGCUGUUCGUGAUUGGGAUAGACCUUUGCAAUUAUGGGUCUUCAACGAGGAAUUCCUAGUAAACGCAAGUCAUCAACUUGCAUUGAUUACGUCCCUGCCCUUUGUACACACCGCCCGUCGCACCUACCGAUUGAAUGGUCCGGUGAAAUCUCGGGACGGCGGCUUGGUCGCUUGCGUCCGACUGCUGAAACUUGAUUAAACCAUAUCAUUUAGAGGAAGGUGAANUCGUAACA
rnacentral:rRNA from 1 species